AACGCGAAGAACCUUACCAAGGCUUGACAUGCAUCUCUAAGCGCGUGAAAGCGCGUGACCCUUCGGGGAAUUUGCACAGGUGCUGCAUGGCCGUCGUCAGCUCGUGUCGUGAGAUGUUGGGUUAAGUCCCGCAACGAGCGCAACCCCUGUGAACUGUUGCCAGCACGUUAUGGUGGGGACUCUGUUCAGACUGCCCAGAUCAACUGGGAGGAAGGUGGGGACGACGUCAGGUCAGUAUGGCCCUUACGCCUUGGGCUGCACACGUACUACAAUGCCCAGUACAAUGAGAACCGAGACCGCGAGGUGGAGGAAAUCUACAAAACUGGGCCCAGUUCGGAUUGGAGGCUGCAACUCGCCUCCAUGAAGCCGGAAUCGCUAGUAAUGCUGCAUCAGCUACGGCAGCGUGAAUACGUUCCCGGGUCUUGUACACACCG
rnacentral:rRNA from 1 species